GGCUCCAGAGAGGAUCAAACUUCGUGCUGAUAACGCGAAGAUUGUGUGUUCGAUCCUCUCUGGAGCCA
rnacentral:tRNA from 1 species